UUAUCGUUUGUUAAAAAAUUUUUGCCAAUAAUAUUUAUGUAAAUACUCCCUGAUGAAGACGCGUGAGCGUUGAAACGCGUAGGAGGGUAAAAGGAAAAUUUAAUUUUUUCGCUUUUUUAACUCUAUCGGCCGAAGCAGCUCCAACCCAGCAAACAUAACAAAUAAGAAUUUGGCCCAAAUAAUUAUAAUUAUA